GANGNNGCAUGGNUAGUANCGAGNGCAAGCCNCCCCCNCCAAGGAANAGACGNGGACUCGCAACAAGNGCUGGANNAUGUGGCANNANUCGUCGAUANACCGAAGAACCUUACCNAGGUUAGAAAUCCACCUGCAUCUCUAUNGAAAGANUGAGAGCCUNNCGAGGNUGCUGGACCAGGUGAUCCAUGGUCGUCGUCAGUUAAGUGGUNUGAACUGUUCCCUUCAGUGGGGUAACGAACGCAACCCCCGUUGUCUGUUGCCUACGGGCCAGGAGAGACUGCUCCCUCUCGGGAGAGGAAGGUGGGGAUGACGCCAGAUCAGCAUGUCCCUCUGAUACCCUUGGGCUGCACACAUAAUACAAUGGUCGGUACAAAAGGAUGCAAUACCGCAAGGUGGAGCUAAUCCCGAAAACCGUCCUCAGUACGGAUUCGAGGUCUGCAACCGACCUCGUGAAGCUGGAAUCACUAGUAAUCCUGGGUCAGCUAAACCAGGGUGAAUACGUUCUCGAGUCUUGUACUCACCGCCCGUCAACUCAAGGGAGCUGGGAGUGCCCAAAACUUUGCCUCGCGCAGAGCUACGGCAAGCUCAGUAAUCAGGGAGUAAGUCGUAANCAAGGUAUCC
rnacentral:rRNA from 1 species